rnacentral:rRNA from 2 species
AGCAUAGCGAUUUGGGAUAAGUCCCUUGGAAAAGGGCAGCAUGGAGGGUGAUACUCCCGUCUCUGCUCGGAUUGUCUGUGUGUACGAUACGCUUUCUUUGAGUCGAGUUGUUUGGGAAUACAGCUCAAAGUAGGUGGUAAAUUCCAUCUAAAGCUAAAUAUUGGUGCGAGACCGAUAGCGAACAAGUACCGUGAGGGAAAGAUGAAAAGAACUUUGAAAAGAGAGUUAAAGAGUACCUGAAACUGUUGAAAGGGAACCGUAUCGUUUCCAGUGUUUUAUCCUGUGCAUAUUUCAUUAGCGGAGCAAUUUGCUGGUGCCCUGUGCAUGGGUGUGACGUCAGAGUCAGUUUGUAUGCUGCGGGAAAUGGUCAGUGAGGAGGUGCGUCACUUCGGUGAAAGUUAUAUCUCGCUGUCUAGUAGCCGUGGUUGAGACUGAGGUGCC